UACGUAGGGGGCAAGCGUUAUCCGGAUUUACUGGGUGUAAAGGGAGCGCAGACGGCAGUGCAAGUCUGAUGUGAAAGCCCGGGGCUCAACCCCGGAACUGCAUUGGAAACUGUACAGCUUGAGUGUCGGAGAGGUAAGCGGAAUUCCUAGUGUAGCGGUGAAAUGCGUAGAUAUUAGGAGGAACACCGGUGGCGAAGGCGGCUUACUGGACGAUUACUGACGUUGAGGCUCGAAAGCGUGGGGAGCAAACAGGAUUAGAUACCCGCGUAGUCCCUGA
rnacentral:rRNA from 1 species